AUUGAACGCUGGCGGCAGGCCUAACACAUGCACGUCGAACGAGUGGCGGACGGGUGAGUAAUGUCUGGGAAACUGCCUGAUGGAGGGGGAUAACUACUGGAAACGGUAGCUAAUACCGCAUACCAUGAGAUGUGCCCAGAUGGGACUAGCUUGUUGGUGGGGUAACGGCUCACCAAGGCGACAAUCACUAGCUGGUCUGAGAGGAUGACCAGCCACACUGUAAACGAGGCACGGUGCAGACUCCUAAGUGAGGCAGCAGUGAGGAAUAUUGCAUAAGGGGCACAAGCAUGAUGCAGCCAUGCCGCGUGUAUGUAGAAGGCCAUCGGUUUGUAAAGUACUUACAGCGGGGAGGCGUUACCCGCAGAAGAAGCACCGGCUAACGCCGUGCCAGCCGCCGCGGUAAUAC
rnacentral:rRNA from 1 species